GACGUAGGAUGCAAGCGUUGUCCGGAAUUAUUGGGCGUAAAGGGCUCGUAGGCGGUUUGUCGCGUCGGGAGUGAAAACACCGGGCUUAACUCGGUGCUUGCUUUCGAUACGGGCAGACUAGAGGCAUGCAGGGGAGAACGGAAUUCCUGGUGUAGCGGUGAAAUGCGCGGAUAUCAGGAGGAACACCGGUGGCGAAGGCGGUUCUCUGGGCAUGUCCUGACGCUGAGGAGCGAAAGUGUGGGGAGCGAACAGG
rnacentral:rRNA from 1 species